UUAUAGUCCAGCAUAUUCAUUCUUGCAACGGUUUUGCGACAAAGUCUCUGUACUGAUCACGAAAAAAAAAAACCAAGAUGAAUAAAGUAUUUUUACUGUUAUCAAUUUUAUUGAUAGUUGGCGUUCUUGCCAGUGUAGCUAACGGAUGCGAAGGCCAAUGGUGUCAUCCAGCAGCCGGUACUAAUUGUUGUCAAUUUCACGAAUGUACCCAAUGGCUUUUGCCAGGUACAUGCGAGGAUGAGGACGAUUAAAUCCUCACUAGAAGAUGAACAAGAAAUAGUGUUGGAAAAUUUAUUACGACGAAAUGCUGUCUCAUCGAUUUUGUAAUAUUGGUCAAUAAAUAUACAUAUUAAUAAAUAUA